AAAUAUUCUACAGAAGAUGUUGCAAAAGUGCAUUUGGAGUAGUUCAGAAAAAGGUUGCUUUUCUUGAGUAUUUCCAUGACCAGUGCUAAAUGCUCCUUGUGUUCCUCCAUGUUUCUGCUGAAAAUUGAGAUAUCAUCAAAAAGUAGCAAAACAAAUUUCCUGAGAUAUGGAGCAAAAAGCUUGUUCAUGAGAGCUUGGAAAGUAGCUGGGGCAUUAGUCAAUCCGAAGGGCAUGACCAGAAACUCAUAAUGCCCUAAAUAUGUCCUGAAAGCAGUUUUAUGCACAUCCUCAGGUUUCAUCCUGAUUUGAUGAUAACCUGAUUUCAGGUCCAGUUUGCUGAAAACAGCUGCUCCAUGUAGUUCAUCCAAUAAAUCUUCUAUCACUGGUAUGGGAAAUUUGUUUUUGAUAGUUUGGGCAUUUAGCUUCCUAUAAUCAAUGCAAAGUCUCCAAGUUCCUCCCUUCUUUCUAACUAAGAUUGCAGGUGAAGCAUAGGGACUCAUACUAUGCUGAAUUAUGUGUCUGUUCAACAAUAGUUUAAUCUGCUAUUCCAUUUCAUUUUUCUGCAAAUGAGGAACUCUGUAUGGUCUGACAUUAGGAGGAGUGGAAUUUUCUUUGAGGGGAAUAGUGUGAUCACAUUCUAUGGAGGGUGGCAGUUCAGUUGGUUCAUUAAACAGCUCCUUGUAGUUGUUUAAAACUGGUAAAACUUCAGCUGCAGGUUUAAGAGGUUCCUGUGCUACCUGUUCCAGGGGAGUUUGGAUGUGUGUCAUAUAAUGCAAACUCAUAGUGAAACCCACAGCCCCUUGAGAACACAACUUGUCCAGCUUUUCAGCAGAUAUCAGUUUAGGAGGUUCACUAGCAGUGCAGUCUACAAAUGUGACCAGCUUGGUUUUGUCCUUAUUGAGAGUGACAGUUCUUGCUU
rnacentral:lncRNA from 1 species